rnacentral:rRNA from 1 species
AGAGUUUGAUCCUGGCUCAGGAUGAACGCUAGCGGCAGGCUUAACACAUGCAAGUCGGGCGGCAGCGGGGUGGGAGCUUGCUCCCACUGCCGGCGAGCGGCGCACGGGUGAGUAACACGUAUGCAACCUGCCCCUGUCAGGGGGACAACCCGCCGAAAGGCGGGCUAAGCCCGCGUAUAUCGCCCCGGGGCAUCCCGGGGGGAGGAAAGGAGCGAUCCGGACAGGGAUGGGCAUGCGGCGCAUUAGCUGGUCGGCGGGGUAACGGCCCACCGAGGCGACGAUGCGUAGGGGUUCUGAGAGGAAGGCCCCCCACACUGGUACUGAGACACGGACCAGACUCCUACGGGAGGCAGCAGUGAGGAAUAUUGGUCAAUGGGCGGGAGCCUGAACCAGCCAAGCCGCGUGAGGGAAGAAGGUACAGCGUAUCGUAAACCUCUUUUGUCAGGGAACAAAGGCGGGGACUAGUCCCCGGAUGAGGGUACCUGAAGAAAAAGCAUCGGCUAACUCCGUGCCAGCAGCCGCGGUAAUACGGAGGAUGCGAGCGUUAUCCGGAUUUAUUGGGUUUAAAGGGUGCGCAGGCGGCCUGUUAAGUCAGCGGUAAAAGCCCGGGGCUCAACCCCCGGCGAGCCGUUGAAACUGGCGGGCUGGAGUUGGAGAGAAGUACGCGGAAUGCGCGGUGUAGCGGUGAAAUGCUUAGAUAUCGCGCAGAACCCCGAUUGCGAAGGCAGCGUACCGGCUCCACACUGACGCUGAGGCACGAAAGCGUGGGUAUCGAACAGGAUUAGAUACCCUGGUAGUCCACGCAGUAAACGAU